rnacentral:rRNA from 1 species
GACGAACGCUGGCGGCGUGCCUAAUACAUGCAAGUAGGACGCACAGUUUAUACCGUAGCUUGCUACACCAUAGACUGUGAGUUGCGAACGGGUGAGUAACGCGUAGGUAACCUGCCUAUUAGAGGGGGAUAACUAUUGGAAACGAUAGCUAAUACCGCAUAACAGUAUGUAACACAUGUUAGAUGCUUGAAAGAUGCAAUUGCAUCGCUAGUAGAUGGACCUGCGUUGUAUUAGCUAGUAGGUAGGGUAAAGGCCUACCUAGGCAACGAUACAUAGCCGACCUGAGAGGGUGAUCGGCCACACUGGGACUGAGACACGGCCCAGACUCCUACGGGAGGCAGCAGUAGGGAAUCUUCGGCAAUGGGGGGAACCCUGACCGAGCAACGCCGCGUGAGUGAAGAAGGGUUUCGGCUCGUAAAGCUCUGUUGGUAGUGAAGAAAGAUAGAGGUAGUAACUGGCCUUUAUUUGACGGUAAUUACUUAGAAAGUCACGGCUAACUACGUGCCAGCAGCCGCGGUAAUACGUAGGUGGCAAGCGUUGUCCGGAUUUAUUGGGCGUAAAGCGAGCGCAGGCGGUUCUUUAAGUCUGAUGUGAAAGCCCCCGGCUCAACCGGGGAGGGUCAUUGGAAACUGGAGAACUUGAGUGCAGAAGAGGAGAGUGGAAUUCCACGUGUAGCGGUGAAAUGCGUAGAUAUGUGGAGGAACACCAGUGGCGAAGGCGGCUACCUGGUCUGCAACUGACGCUGAGACUCGAAAGCAUGGGUAGCGAACAGG